GACGGAGGAUGCAAGCGUAUCGAAUCGGAUGGUGCGUAAAGCGUCCGCAGGUGGCAGUUCAAGUCUGCUGUCAAAGACCGGGGCUUAACUUCGGAAAGGCAGUGGAAACUGAACAGCUAGAGUAUGGUAGGGGCAGAGGGAAUUCCUGGUGUAGCGGUGAAAUGCGUAGAUAUCUGGAGGAACACCGGUGGCGAAGGCGGCAUCCUGGACCGGCAUUGACGCUGAGGCGCGAAAGCCAGGGGAGCAAACGGG
rnacentral:rRNA from 1 species